GAGGGUUUCGCUCAGUGGUAGGGUGCAUGCUUAGCAUGUGUGAGGUCCUGGGUUCCAUCCCCAGUACCUUCA
rnacentral:tRNA from 1 species